UGCAGAUUAACCUGAUGAUGAAGACGAUCCUGAUGACGAAGAUAAUACUUUUGAUGAGGACGAUCUGAAUUCCCAACCUGUACCCAUUACUGAGCCUCUGGGAGAUGCUGAGGGUGUGUCUGCAGGGAGAACUUUCCCAGGUCCUUUGGUGGAUGUUGCAAGCAAGCCCAGUUCCCAUGGCAGGGGUCCUCCAAGAAGGAAGAAGAAUCCUAUAGGAGCUCGUAAGUCCCUGGAGGAUUCCAAACAUCUGGAACAAAAACGAAGUGGUGUGGACAGCCAGCUUGGUGGGU